rnacentral:misc_RNA from 1 species
GAACUGAUGGUUGCCUACAGGUCCUGCACUCUCAUUUAUUUAUAAUAUAUUCAAUUGAUAUUACACAUUGAGUAGGGAUGAAUAACUGAAUGUUUCCCAGUCAUACUGUGUUGCAUUAUUGUGCAUUUUUCUGACUGAAGAGAAAAACCAUCCCACCCCUUGCACAGUGCUUUACUAGAAAAGAAUUUUUUUGUUUCUCCCAUUUGUUGCAUCUAUGGAACAGCUGCUUUGUGCAGAAGUAAAAACACAACGCUAGUUCUAUAGUCCAUGAAAUAUCUGGUUCAUUAAAGUAUAUUUGGUAAAAUUGAGUUAGUUGAUUUUGUUUUAACUAUUUGGUAAAACUGAGUUAGUCGAUUUUGUUUUAACUUGAAGAACACCGAGUAUGCA